rfam:Synergistes jonesii strain 78-1 contig_34, whole genome shotgun sequence.
UCCACUGUGAGGUGAAGUCCGAAGAAAGGCGUAGGCAAAUCUCUGCUCUGACAGACAAUAAUCACAUCAGGCGGCCUGAGAGAGAUAAGCCAGCAUAACAGGACAAAGUCCAAUAACUGCUCGGGAUCUCAGGCGGUAAAUGCGGCAGAUAUAUAGAGUGAAAUAGUACGUUCU